GAAAAUAGCUGCUCGGAGAGGCUAAAGAGGAGCGAAAUUGGUAUCUGGUGGGGUGAAAGCAGAACCUCGGCCUUCAUGCAACUCUGUGUUUGGGUAUGGAAUGAUCCUCUCAUAUUGGUCUUAGCAAUCUGCACGUGUGUCUCUCUCAGCCCUCACAGUCGUGGAUCCUGUAGUAUUCAUCUUGCUAUGUCCCCAGGGCCUAGCCCAGGACCUGGGCGAGAAGAGGUGCUCCCUGAAUGCUUGUCAAAUAAAUAUAUGAAGAAUUAAUCAUCACAUCCCAUUUUAUCACCUCCCUAAACAGAGUCAUUUUCCCUCCCCACUGCCUUCCUGCAUUCCUCUAGGGCAAGAUGGUUCUUGCAGAGAGAGAGAGAGAGAGAGUGAGAAUGAAGAAGAGGUUAACCCAAUUGUCAUUUCCAAAGCAGCUGUUAAUCCCUGCCUUCUUAAAUUACCCUUAUUGUACCCACUUUCAGCCUCAAUGUUGGGUCAGCACUGAGGCAACUCUGACUUUGGUCUCCUUUAAAAAAAAGGAAAAAGAAGGAAGGAGGGAGAGAAGGAAACUCUGCCUGUAUUCAAACCAUUUCAAGAAACAUGGUUGAACUAAAGAGAGAAGCAAUUUAAAGUGGGUGUUUUCACACGCAGAGCUGGAAGUUCUAGCAUUGGAGCCCUAUGGGUCUGAAGUUCAGCCAUAUUCCUUCCCCAGAGCCCUAGUUGCCUUGGAAGUCAAGAUCUUUUAGAAGCCACCUGCAUCAACUUUUCACCACUGUCCUAAAUCAGAAACUUCGUGGUCACUUCCCCACUCCUCACCUGCUGCCUCCAAGGAUCUCCUCAGGAAUAAAUUACUUGCAUUUAAAUCCUUGUCUCAGAGUUGGCUUCUGGAGGAACUCAGAUGAAGAUGGCAGACUUAUCACUUUUCCUUUUGUCUAACUAAAAGGCUUCAAAUAGAAAUCAAUUAUUCAACUGAUUAUGAAUCCAAAAAUUUCUGGCAUAUUUGAAAGAGCAGAUCAUCCCGACUUUUAGUCCUCAAGAUAUCAAAAAUAUUGCAUCUCCAUCUAGCACCUCCCCCCCCAUUACACACCUGCUUUGUGCUAGGCACUUUACAUGUGCAACAGGAUGAUGUUAGGGGUGCUCUGAGUCUCUUGGCCUAAGUUCAAAGGUCAUUCAGCAGUUGGGGUCAGCCACCUUCCUUCACGGCUCGCUGUGGAGCCAUUUCAGCAGAAUGGCAGCCCAUCCUUAUGCCCAUUCUACCGUGGGCGUCAAGGAGAAGGGGAAAGAGAGCACGUCUUGCUUCUCCUGCUCCCCCUACCCAUUGUCCCAGCUCCAAGCCACUAGAAUCAUGAGUCUGGCUUGAACUGGGUGACAUGGGGCCAGGGGAUCUAAAAGAACUUUGAAUCAGAUCUGAGAAUGAAGUUUUUUCCAAGGAAAUUUAUAUUGAACUAUAAAACACAUACAGAAAAGUAUAUGUGUGUACAUGCACACAGAUAUAUCAUAAGUGCACGGCUCAGUGAAUUUCCCCAGACUAAACAUGCUCACAUAACCUGCACCCAGAUCAAGAUACAGAACUCUCCCAGCCCCUCAGAAAGCUACCUAGUAACCCUCCUAGUCACUACCCUUUGCCAAGGGUGACCACUAUCCUGCUAACACCCUGGAUUGCUUUUGCCUGUUUUUGAACUUCACAUAAAUGGAAUCAUGCCGUGCAUGCUUUUUGGUGUCUGUCUUCGUUUGUUCGACAUCAUGACCAUGAGACUGGGUCUCGUUGUGCUUCACUGGUUGAGACUGACAUUCUAAUUGGAGGAGAUUUGGGUUUUAAGACCUGAAAUAGACAGCUUUGGUAACCAAAGAGUCAGUCAGGCAUGCUAUGGAAUUGUUGAGAGGCUGGUUGAGGAAGCCCAUUCUUUAAUAGCUCCGU
rnacentral:lncRNA from 10 species